AGUGAACGCUGGCGGUAGGCCUAACACAUGCAAGUCGAACAGCAGCACAGUAAGAGCUUGCUCUUACGGGUGGCGAGUGGCGGACGGGUGAGGAAUACAUCGGAAUCUACUUUUUCGUGGGGGAUAACGUAGGGAAACUUACGCUAAUACCGCAUACGACCUACGGGUGAAAGCAGGGGAUCUUCUGACCUUGCGCGAUUGAAUGAGCCGAUGUCGGAUUAGCUAGUUGGCGGGGUAACGGCCCACCAAGGCGACGAUCCGUAGCUGGUCUGAGAGGCUGAUCAGCCACACUGGAACUGAGACACGGUCCAGACUCCUACGGGAGGCAGCAGUGGGGAAUAUUGGACAAUGGGCGCAAGCCUGAUCCAGCCAUACCGCGUGGGUGAAGAAGGCCUUCGGGUUGUAAAGCCCUUUUGUUGGGAAAGAAAAGCAGCAGGUUAAUACCCCGCUGUUCUGACGGUACCCAAAGAAUAAGCACCGGCUAACUUCGUG
rnacentral:rRNA from 1 species